rnacentral:rRNA from 1 species
UCCUCACACUUUUAGGUAAUUUCCCGGGGGGGGCUACCAUGCAGUCGAGCGGAACGAGUUAUCUGAACCUUCGGGGAACGAUAACGGCGUCGAGCGGCGGACGGGUGAGUAAUGCCUAGGAAAUUGCCCUGAUGUGGGGGAUAACCAUUGGAAACGAUGGCUAAUACCGCAUAAUACCUACGGGUCAAAGAGGGGGACCUUCGGGCCUCUCGCGUCAGGAUAUGCCUAGGUGGGAUUAGCUAGUUGGUGAGGUAAUGGCUCACCAAGGCGACGAUCCCUAGCUGGUCUGAGAGGAUGAUCAGCCACACUGGAACUGAGACACGGUCCAGACUCCUACGGGAGGCAGCAGUGGGGAAUAUUGCACAAUGGGCGCAAGCCUGAUGCAGCCAUGCCGCGUGUGUGAAGAAGGCCUUCGGGUUGUAAAGCACUUUCAGUCGUGAGGAAGGUAGUGUAGUUAAUAGCUGCAUUAUUUGACGUUAGCGACAGAAGAAGCACCGGCUAACUCCGUGCCAGCAGCCGCGGUAAUACGGAGGGUGCGAGCGUUAAUCGGAAUUACUGGGCGUAAAGCGCAUGCAGGUGGUUUGUUAAGUCAGAUGUGAAAGCCCGGGGCUCAACCUCGGAAUAGCAUUUGAAACUGGCAGACUAGAGUACUGUAGAGGGGGGUAGAAUUUCAGGUGUAGCGGUGAAAUGCGUAGAGAUCUGAAGGAAUACCGGUGGCGAAGGCGGCCCCCUGGACAGAUACUGACACUCAGAUGCGAAAGCGUGGGGAGCAAACAGGAUUAGAUACCCUGGUAGUCCACGCCGUAAACGAUGUCUACUUGGAGGUUGUGGCCCUUGAGCCGUGGCUUUCGGAGCUAACGCGUUUAAGUAGACCGCCCUGGGGAGUACGGGUCGCAAGAUUAAAACUCAAAUGAAUUUGACCGGGGCCCGCACAAGCGGUGGAGCAUGUGGUUAAUUUCGAUGCCAACGCGAAGAACCUUUACCCUACUCUUGAACAUUCAGAGGACAUUUCCAGAGAUGGAUUUGGCUGCGUUCGGUACUCUGAAACGGUGCCUUGCAUGUCUGUCGUCAGCUCGGUUAUGGGAAAUGUAGGUUAAGUCCGCAACGAAGCGCCAAUCCC